rnacentral:rRNA from 1 species
UACGUAGGAGGCAAGCGUUGUCCGGAAUUACUGGGCGUAAAGCGCGUGUAGGCGGUCUGAAUAGUCUGCUGUGAAAGCGCCUGGCUUAACCGGGCGAGGUCGGCGGAAACUCUCAGACUGGAGGCCGGUAGAGGGGGGUGGAAUUCCCGGUGUAGUGGUGAAAUGCGUAGAGAUCGGGAGGAACACCUGCGGCGAAGGCGGCCCCCUGGGCCGCGCCUGGACGCUGAGACGCGAAGGCUAGGGGAGCGAACGGG